rnacentral:rRNA from 1 species
CCUACGGGUGGCUGCAGUGAGGAAUAUUGGUCAAUGGGCGCGAGCCUGAACCAGCCAAGUAGCGUGAAGGAUGACUGCCCUACGGGUUGUAAACUUCUUUUAUAAAGGAAUAAAGUGAGGCACGUGUGCCUUUUUGUAUGUACUUUAUGAAUAAGGAUCGGCUAACUCCGUGCCAGCAGCCGCGGUAAUACGGAGGAUCCGAGCGUUAACCGGAUUUAUUGGGUUUAAAGGGAGCGUAGAUGGGUUUUUAAGUCAGUUGGGAAAGUUUGCGGGUCAACCGUAAAAUUGAAAUUGAUACUGGCAGUCUUGAGUACAGUUGAGGUAGGCGGAAUUCGUGGUGUAGCGGUGAAAUGCUUAGAUAUCACGAAGAACCCCGAUUGCGAAGGCAGCUUACUAAACUGUGACUGACAUUGAUGCUCGAAAGUGUGGGUAUCAAACAGGAUUAGAUACCCGGGUAGUC